rnacentral:tRNA from 1 species
AAUGAUUUGGCAGAUUAGUGCAUUAAGUUUAGAAUUUAAUAAAGUAAAUAGUUUUUACAUUCAUUA